rnacentral:rRNA from 1 species
CCCUUAGAUGUUCUGGGCCGCACGCGCGCUACACUGAUGCAUUCAACGAGUCUAAAACCUGCUCUGAUAGGGGUGGGUAAUCUUUUGAAUGUGCAUCGUGAUUGGGAUAGAUGAUUGCAAUUUUUCAUCUUCAACGAGGAAUGCCUAGUAAACGCAAGUCAUCAGCUUGCAUUGAUUACGUCCCUGCCCUUUGUACACACCGCCCGUCGUUCCUACCGAUUGAAUGAUCCGAUGAAUAUCAUGGAUUGAGGAUGCAAGUAGGUUCGCCUAUCUUCAUCUUCGAGAAGUGAAGUAAAUCUUAUCAUUUAGAGGAAGGAGAAGUCGUAACA